UGAGGCGGGCUGGACCUCUCGGGGUUACAGCCUUGCUGAAUUAUUCACCCUUGUCUUUUGCGUACUUCUUGUUUCCUUGGUGGGUUCGCCCACCACUAGGACAAACAUAAACCUUUUGUAAUUGCAAUCAGCGUCAGUAACAAAUUAAUAAUUACAACUUUCAACAACGGAUCUCUUGGUUCUGGCAUCGAUGAAGAACGCAGCGAAAUGCGAUAAGUAGUGUGAAUUGCAGAAUUCAGUGAAUCAUCGAAUCUUUGAACGCACAUUGCGCCCUUUGGUAUUCCAAAGGGCAUGCCUGUUCGAGCGUCAUUUGUACCCUCAAGCUUUGCUUGGUGUUGGGCGUCUUGUCUCUAGCUUUGCUGGAGACUCGCCUUAAAGUAAUUGGCAGCCGGCCUACUGGUUUCGGAGCGCAGCACAAGUCGCACUCUCUAUCAGCAAAGGUCUAGCAUCCAUUAAGCCUUUUUUUCAACUUUUGACCUCGGAUCAGGUAGGGAUACCCGCUGAACUUAAGCAUAUCAAUAAGCCGGGAGGAAA
rnacentral:rRNA from 1 species